CCUGAAAUUGUUCAGUGAGUGGGAACCUGCUCCGUGCCAGAGAAGUGCAUACUCCAUUGGAAUUGUUCUAAUUGUUAAGAAAAUAUUCUUACAAAAAGACUAAAUGUUCUCCUUUGUAAAUUCCAUUUUUUCCUUUCAGAGAAACAGGAAAUGUCUAAUCCCUCUUCCACAAGAGAAUUUUUCAUAUACUUGAAGACAGAAUUCAGUUUUUGAUUUAAGGCUUAACCAAAACUACUGACAGGAAAAAUAAGGGAAAGCAGAGGAUAGAGCACUGGGCCUGAAGUCAGAAAGACUCAUCUACAGUAUCUUUGCCAAGAAAGCUCCAUGUCGAGUCAUAAAAGUCAGGCACAACUGCAAAAAUGAAUCCACAGCAACAAUUAUGAACAAACGUCCAACAAUUGGAGAGUCAAUUCAAGGAUGGUUGCUUUUAGUAAUAGAAGAUUUAAGAGGGUUUUCUUUAAAAACAUUUGAUUGACACAUGUGCACACCCACAGUGAGCAACUGAUGCUCCCAGAAUCUGCAGAUGGCAAUUUAUCUGUUUGGGCCUCUUUGUCUGAAUGGGAAAUAGCUGAGAGUCACACUUCACUACAUCCCAUCAAUUUGGAAAUGUUAAGAUCCUGGAGAGAAGGCCACUGUGGGUUGGAUAAUUGGAGUGGCAUGGAGACUGAAGAAAGGGAGAUUUUUUUUACCUGAAAGAAGUAGCUGAUCUGCUCAGUUUCUGGGCAAAGGAAAUAGAAUUGAUUCUGCCAAUUAAAAAUUUAAAGGAUUGCAAAUGUAUUAGUAGAAUUGAACCAAACA
rnacentral:lncRNA from 1 species